CAGAACUUCAGAAUUCCUAUUCUCCAAGUGGUCACUUUACUCACCAAACGCAAUCAUUGGUUUUUCAAAAGUUCCCUUACAGUGAACAUUUUCCCAAGGACAACAUUUGGUAGGGGGAGGGGGCUAACCGUAGCCAGAAAGGGUAGCUGGAAUUAGAACCUGACUCCCCCUGGCACAGCAGCGCAGCAUUCAUUCAGAGGCGAGUGAGAGGUGGCUCCUCAUGUUGGAGAAGGAGCUGCAACAUCCCACAGAGCUGCAGCUGGAGUUACGUGGUCAACGGACAAGUCUGCAGGAAGACAUGGUGGUUGGCAUGAGCUCACUGGGCCUAGAGCACAGCCUGGGUCAGGGCUGGGACUGAGCCUUGGCAACCACCAGUCUGUGAAGACAGGACAACCACCUCAUCGAUGGCACCAAGCAAGCUUUUCCCACUCCUGCAAAAAUCAUUCAGAGCCCUUCCCCUAGUGUUGCCCUCAUCUACCCCACAGAGAGCUGUCGGCCUGGGUUCUGUGUAGCACACCCUGAUUCUUACUGUGGAAGGAGUCCCACAGAGGGCUCGCCCAGCAGUAGGCCGAGUGCUGGCCCUAUGCAACGUGGCCAUUUCAGAUGCAGGGAACCGAGAUGCUGAGGUUUGGCAAUGGUGCCCCCAAUGUCUUCGGGUGAGACUACUGAGGAAUGCUGAGGGGGAGAUGGCAUUGGUCUUGAGGGCCCUCACAGGCAGAUCGGGGAAUGGACUUGGGAAGUGGGAUGGAAGGUGAUUUCUUCAAAAGGUGAAGCCUGAGCUGGCCAGGACUCCAGCUCCACCGCCCAGGCUGGGAGGCGUGUGAAAAUGCCUCACCUAUGACGAACCGUGACAUCACGUCCUGCAAGCAUUCAGUUCUUCCUUCCUAUAUGCCUUUUCAGGUAUCAGGGAUGGAGUGGAGAACAUGAAAGGCCAGGCUUCCUCAGGGAGCGUUGGGUGGGUGGGGAAAGCCCGGAAGCACACAGUGACUGAGGAAGUGCAUCAACAAAGUGUCCCUGGGACCUGAGUGUGGAGAUGGCCACGAAGCCAGGAAUAAGCUGUAGGCCAGUUGCCGGGGCACUGCUCAGAUUGUGCGAGGACCCCCUCUUUGGGCCUGGAUGUCUAGCAAUAGUCUGGUGCUCUGUGGGACAGGGGACAGGGGCAGUAGGGACAGCUUGACUUUUUGAAGAAUAAGAAGAAGACAAGUAAGAAGGGGCUGUCAGGAGUGCAAGAUGGGAAGGGUGGGCUGGUGGGUGUUUGAUUUUACUCCAGGUAGGAUGGGCCAUGGCUUGCUUUAAGCACUGACAUGGCAAGGCCUGGAUCUCUGCCGCCACUGGGGAGGUGGACAGUAGGGGCAGGGUGACAGCAGCUGGGGUCCAGGCAGGAAGCCACUGUGGCUGAGCAUGAGAGACACUCAGGAACAGCAGCUUCGAGGAGGCCAACUGGGAGGAGGGAGAGCUCAGGAAGGCAGAGCAAAGGCCCCUCCUGGAGACACAUGGAGCCUCCCUGUCCCCACUGCUAGGCUUCUUGCCUACCCUUAGUUAAAUAACUGGGGUUGCUUCCUUAGCACUUUGCAAAAGGCUCCUCCAGUAGUGCUGAUGGGGUUGUUCAGAGCCUGCUAAUUACUGAGCAAGUGGGAUGGGAACACCGUGUGGAGGAUCUUAAUCUAGGACAGUGUUUUUGUGAAGUUCAGGAAGUUCUCUCAGAGGGUCGUUAACUCUGUUGAGCCACAGGGGAACCAAUUCAGCAUCCUUGGGGAAUCAUCCCAAAAACCAGGCUCCGGUCGAGGGCAUGAACUCGUUUUGGUUCUUGUUUAUCCUGGAGAAGUAAUCGCUUGAUUCCCUGUAGAAAUGGUGAAUGUUAUACUGUAACCUGUUCUAGAAUAUUCUAUCUUGAAUUUCACUAUCAUGCUCUUCUACAAAGAAGUGGAAUGACAUUCUCAGGAACACAGGUUAUUACACAUCUUUGAAACGCCACUUGGUAUCUCUAAGGAUGGUUUCCAUUCAACUCUUCAGGCAGACCACUGAGCUAAAAAAUAAUCAUCAAUUGAAGGUGCCCUUUGAUAUUAAUACCGAACACUUUCUUAUUCCCAAUUUAAUGGAAGUUGUGUUGAAAUAUUAUGUCUUAACCAAAUCUCUAUUUCACAAAAUUAGUAACCUUCAUUUUGUCAGCUCACCUAAGAGGGAAAAAAAAAUCACAAUUUACUAUAAAUGAAAAACAAAAUCAAGCAUAGACAUUUCUCUACUUUCCAAUGAUAAAAAAAAAACUUCUCAAAAAUGGAAGAUUUUGCAGAAAAAUUCAGAAAGAUUUAUUCCUCAAGUAUCAUAAUUAUGCAUAAAAGUCUCCAUUAUGUCAUGUCAUCUGGGCACUUCCUGAACAUUGAGACCUUCAAUAAUUAAUUUUAAUACGAAAUUUGGCUGCAUCUGCACAUUGGAAACAACAGCUAGAUAGACCACCUGGAUUAAAAUACAUCAGUAACUUGUACGAUGUUUAUUUCUUAUAGGGUGUAGAAAUAUUGUGUGUGUGUGUGUGUGUGUGUUUCUUGGAUUAAGUGACAGGAGGGUUUUUGUUUCCAGAUAGAGCAGAUUCAGAGAAGUUCAUUUUGCCAAUCUUACUGGCCUGUAAAAGCUUGGAUUUAAAGAAAUACAAAAAGACAGAUCAAGUAAAAAUCCCUCCCCACAUCAAAAACCUAAGAACGCCGUUGAAAUUCUAACAACAACAAAAAGACUUCCAUUGGUGUGCCAUGUGCAAUCUGCCACUCCAAAAGGUAUCUGAAACCUCUAGAUAAAUUAUCACCGACUUGUUGGAAGUUGCAUAUAUUGAUUAAAACAUCAAGCAGUUACAUACAAACCAAUAAUGAAUUACUUCACGCCGGAAGAUAAAACUUUGUGAUAUUUAAAAUUACAGACUUGAAAUUUCCUUUCACCUCUUUUCAAGGUCACCUCCUCCCUCUCGGAGGAAAUGCACUACAACUGCCACCGCCGCCGCCGCCGCUGCCACCGCUGCGCACACUUCCCUCGAAGUCCUUACCGUCAGGAUGAGGACCCGGGACUAUUUCAGAGCGCUGAUUUUUUAAAAAAUAAGUAAUUGUGCACCAAGUAUUUUUGUUCCUUCAUAAUGGCUUUAUGGUUCACUGGACCGAAAUGACUAAAAUGAAAGAUUUCCAAGAUUUCUUCUGGGAGUAAUUUACAAAAGACCACCAUUUUUAAUUGCUCCUGAUGUUUAGUUCUGGAUAUCUGCUUCAGAAAGAAAUCAAUCUCCGUCUUUUAGGUGCCAUACUGAGCACAUCAUCAUCUCUUUUAGAAAUCUUGAUAAUUAAACCUUUUUUCCUCCACAAAUGACUCAAACAUUUUCCUUCUUGAUCUGACUCCUCUAGCAGUUUCGAGCACAAUAAUGCACGCACUAUCUCUGUUUACAAUCGUGUCACUCUUUGCUUUUUGCAGAAACUGGUUUUGUUCUUUAAUGUCGGGAAAGAUAAUAAUUAUCAGGGUGACGUCAAAAAUCAUUAAGGGAAGUGGCAGGGUCUACCCAAUAGGAGAGUUAUUCUGGCGCAGGGACGGGAGAGAAUUAAUUUCCCGAUGUUACCAUAAUUAAAAUCAUCUGCAGAAUCCCAAGUACAAGGAAAAGUUAACAAUCGGUACGUCUUCAGUAAGAAACAGCUUCCUUGAAAAAAUCGGUGUGUUAAAGAUAUCAUAGCGUCAUUGAUGAGAUUGGCUGGAACAUUCUGUCAAGAAGCCAUUUCUCACUAAGGCACCUGGCUCAGAUUCUCUUAGAAGGCAACGUUCCGUGUUUGCAGGAGCAUCGACACGCGUUCCCAGGAAACACGCUGAUUUCAAUGUCAAAUUAGCAUGUGGAUGGAAAGAGGACUCUCCUUUCAUUACCUUUAACUAGAUGGCCAUUGCCGGUUUGGCACAGAAAACUGUCACCGUGAGACAUCUGCUGCAACUGUCUUCUCUACCACGUAGUCGCUCCAGUUGUCAAGGUUGCGGUAACUGAUGGCCAGCGUUCUUGUUCGCUUUUGUAAAACUCUAUUCUUAACAUCCACGUUGAUUAUAAAUGUCUGUGUGGACACAAACACCGGGAGUAAACUAUUGUACUUACGUCUGCA